rnacentral:rRNA from 1 species
UACAGAGGUGGCAAGCGUUGUUCGGAAUUACUGGGCGUAAAGGGCGCGUAGGCGGCCAUCUAAGUCAGACGUGAAAUCCCCCGGCUUAACCUGGGAACUGCGUCUGAUACUGGAAGGCUUGAGUAUGGGAGAGGGAUGUAGAAUUCCAGGUGUAGCGGUGAAAUGCGUAGAUAUCUGGAGGAAUACCGGUGGCGAAGGCGGCAUCCUGGACCGACAUUGACGCUGAGGAGCGAAAGCCAGGGGAGCAAACGGG